CACGCACUGAACCAAACGGGUUUCCGGUAACGGUACAUCGGGAGUAAACAAGAUCAACAGUUAUUCUAACAGUAACUACAAGAUGAGGACAGGAUGACUUUAUUCUCGCGGCUUCUUUUCUUUUCUGUUUCAUCUGCAGUGAAACACUCGCCGAUAAAUCACUUCACUGGAUCUGCUGGAGUCCCAAACGUCACACAGUUUGUGGGUGUUGCUGUGGUUGAUGGCGUCGAGGCAGUUUACUUGGAGUGGUACAAACAUUAGAAGUGGCUGUGAAUAUGAGGAAAGCACUGGAGAGAAGUAUGGCUUUGUUGAACCGGAUCUGAAGACACUGUCAUGGGCUUCACUGAAGGCUGACGCUACCAAACAGAGCUGGGAUGCUGACAGUAAUAAAACAAAGCUAAAUGAAGUUUUCCUCACUGACAUCUGUCCAGAGCGGCUGAAGGUGUUUUUGGACGGUGGCAACAGCUCCCUGCAGAGAACAGGUAGAAUCACAUGACCUCAUGAAUGCAGUGGUGUUUAUUUUAUUUUGAGUUAUCUUUCUAACAACACAGUUAUCUUUUAAAGGACAAAUCUUUGAGGCUAAUUUUGUAUUUAAUGAUUUUGAAGGUGAAUGAAAGAAGCUGUGUGCAAACACUGCUGUACUGCUACAUUUUAUGGACAAUUAUAGUUUCACAUUUCUAUCAGUAAGUUUGACACAAGACACAAAUAAGGAAACAGAAAUUUGUGGUGCACUGUUACUUAUAGUGUUCUAAUAAUCAAGACCAGGUGACCAGCACACACAGCAUUAUGGACGCUCGUGGUUUUAUCCAGU